UUUUUUUUUGUUUUUUGAAAUGGGGAAAGAAAGAAAAAGAAAGAGAAAAAAUGAAAGGGUUUAACAAAAUGAAGUUUUCUGUGCAACAGAACAUCAACAUGAAUCCCCUCACUUCUUCUGUGAUGGGUUCUGGGAGAGAUGGUGAAGUGGACAAUGUCG
rnacentral:ribozyme from 13 species